GACGAACGCUGGCGGCGUGCCUAAUACAUGCAAGUCGAACGAGAGCGACCGGUGCUUGCACUGGUCAAUCUAGUGGCGAACGGGUGAGUAACACGUGGGUAACCUGCCCAUCAGAGGGGGAUAACAUCCGGAAACGGAUGCUAAAACCGCAUAGGUCUUCGAGCCGCAUGGCUUGAAGAGGAAAAGAGGCGCAAGCUUCUGCUGAUGGAUGGACCCGCGGUGCUUUAGCUAGUUGGUGAGGUAACGGCUCACCAAAGCCGUGAUGCAUAGCCGACCUGAGAGGGUGAUCGGCCACAUUGGGACUGAGACACGGCCCAAACUCCUACGGGAGGCAGCAGUAGGGAAUCUUCCGCAAUGGACGCAAGUCUGACGGAGCAACGCCGCGUGAGUGAAGAAGGUUUUCGGAUCGUAAAACUCUGUUGUUAGAGAAGAACAAGUGCUAGAGUAACUGUUAGCGCCUUGACGGUAUCUAACCAGAAAGCCACGGCUAACUACGUG
rnacentral:rRNA from 1 species